rnacentral:rRNA from 1 species
GUCUUUUCGAUGAGAUGAAGGGUCUGGCCUGCUCACUGACAAAUUGUUUAAGAGCCGCGGUAUUUUGACCGUGCAAAGGUAGCAUAAUCAUUAGGGGUUUAAUUGGAAUCUGGAAUGAAGGGUUGGACAAAGGAAAAACUGUUUCUGUAGUAUAAAUUGAAGUUUACUUUUAAGUGAAAAGGCUUAAAUAUAUCAAAGGGACGAUAAGACCCUAUAAAGCUUUAUAAAUUAUUUAAAUUUAGUUGAUUUAUAAGAUAAAGAAGAGGUUUAAUUGAAUUUAUUUUAUUGGGGUGAUGUGAAUAUAAUUUUUGUUAACUGUUUAAAAAAAGUACUAUAAUAAGAGAAUUUUAUAUAUGAUCCUUUUUAAAGAUUAAGAGACUAAGUUACUUUAGGGAUAACAGCGUUAUUUCUUUUGAGAGUUCAUAUCGAAAAAGAAGAUUGCGACCUCGAUGUUGAAUUAAAAUAUCUAUAUAAUGCAGCAGUUAUAAAAGAAGGUCUGUUCGACCUUUAAAUUUUUACA